GAUGAACGCUUGCGGCAGGCUUAACACAUGCAAGUCGAGGGGUAGAAGGAGCUUGCUCCUUUGAGACCGGCGCACGGGUGCGUAACGCGUAUGCAAUCUACCUUUUGCAGAGGGAUAGCCCAGAGAAUUUGGAUUAAUACCUCAUAGUAUGUGAGGAUGGCAUCAUUUUCACAUUAAAGUCACAACGGCAAAAGAUGAGCAUGCGUCCCAUUAGCUAGUUGGUAAGGUAACGGCUUACCAAGGCUACGAUGGGUAGGGGUCCUGAGAGGGAGAUCCCCCCACACUGGUACUGAGACACGGACCAGACUCCUACGGGAGGCAGCAGUGAGGAAUAUUGGACAAUGGGCGCAAGCCUGAUCCAGCCAUGCCG
rnacentral:rRNA from 1 species